CGGGGGCGGCGUGCUUACCAUGCAGUCGAACGGUGAACACGGAGCUUGCUCUGUGGGAUCAGUGGCGAACGGGUGAGUAACACGUGAGCAACCUACCCCUGACUCUGGGAUAAGCGCUGGAAACGGCGUCUAAUACUGGAUACGAGUGGCGACCGCAUGGUCAGCUACUGGAAAGAUUUAUUGGUUGGGGAUGGGCUCGCGGCCUAUCAGCUUGUUGGUGAGGUAAUGGCUCACCAAGGCGUCGACGGGUAGCCGGCCUGAGAGGGUGACCGGCCACACUGGGACUGAGACACGGCCCAGACUCCUACGGGAGGCAGCAGUGGGGAAUAUUGCACAAUGGGCGCAAGCCUGAUGCAGCAACGCCGCGUGAGGGAUGACGGCCUUCGGGUUGUAAACCUCUUUUAGCAGGGAAGAAGCGAAAGUGACGGUACCUGCAGAAAAAGCGCCGGCUAACUACGUGCCAGCAGCCGCGGUAAUACGUAGGGCGCAAGCGUUAUCCGGAAUUAUUGGGCGUAAAGAGCUCGUAGGCGGUUUGUCGCGUCUGCUGUGAAAUCCGGAGGCUCAACCUCCGGCCUGCAGUGGGUACGGGCAGACUAGAGUGCGGUAGGGGAGAUUGGAAUUCCUGGUGUAGCGGUGGAAUGCGCAGAUAUCAGGAGGAACACCGAUGGCGAAGGCAGAUCUCUGGGCCGUAACUGACGCUGAGGAGCGAAAGGGUGGGGAGCAAACAGGCUUAGAUACCCUGGUAGUCCACCCCGUAAACGUUGGGAACUAGUUGUGGGGUCCAUUCCACGGAUUCCGUGACGCAGCUAACGCAUUAAGUUCCCCGCCUGGGGAGUACGGCCGCAAGGCUAAAACUCAAAGGAAUUGACGGGGACCCGCACAAGCGGCGGAGCAUGCGGAUUAAUUCGAUGCAACGCGAAGAACCUUACCAAGGCUUGACAUAUACGAGAACGGGCCAGAAAUGGUCAACUCUUUGGACACUCGUAAACAGUGGUGCAUGGUUGUCGUCAGCUCGUGUCGUGAGAUGUUGGGUUAAGUCCCGCACGAGCGCAACCCUCGUUCUAUGUUGCCAGCACGUAAUGGUGGGAACUCAUGGGAUACUGCCGGGGUCAACUCG
rnacentral:rRNA from 1 species